rnacentral:rRNA from 1 species
AUUGAACGCUGGCGGAAUGCUUUACACAUGCAAGUCGAACGGCAGCACGGACUUCGGUCUGGUGGCGAGUGGCGAACGGGUGAGUAAUGUAUCGGAACGUGCCCAGUCGUGGGGGAUAACGUAGUGAAAAUUACGCUAAUACCGCAUGCGAUCUAUGGAUGAAAGCGGGGGAUCGCAAGACCUCGCGCGAUUGGAGCGGCCGAUAUCAGAUUAGGUAGUUGGUGGGGUAAAGGCUCACCAAGCCAACGAUCUGUAGCUGGUCUGAGAGGACGACCAGCCACACUGGAACUGAGACACGGUCCAGACUCCUACGGGAGGCAGCAGUGGGGAAUUUUGGACAAUGGGCGAAAGCCUGAUCCAGCCAUUCCGCGUGCAGGAUGAAGGCCCUCGGGUUGUAAACUGCUUUUGUACAGAACGAAAAGGUUUCUACUAAUACUAGGAGCUCAUGACGGUACUGUAAGAAUAAGCACCGGCUAACUACGUGCCAGCCGCCGCGGUAA